CCUACGGGAGGCAGCAGUGAGGAAUAUUGGACAAUGGGCGCGAGCCUGAACCAGCGAAGUAGCGUGAAGGAUGACUGCCCUACGGGUUGUAAACUUCGUUUAUAAAGGAAUAAAUUGAGGCACGUGUACCUUUUUGUCUGUACUUUAUGAAUAAGGAUCGGCUAACUCCGUGCCAGCAGCCGCGGUAAUACGGAGGAUCCGAGCGUUAUCCGGAUUUAUUGGGUGUAAAGGGAGCGGAGAUGGGUUGUUAAGUCAGUUGUGAAAGUUUGGGGCUCAACCGUAAAAUUGCAAUUGAUACUGGCAGCCUUGAGUACAGUAGAGGUAGGCGGAAUUCGUGGUGUAGCGGUGAAAUGCGUAGAUAUCACGAAGAACUCCGAUGGCGAAGGCAGCCUACUAAACUGCCACUGACAUUGAUGCUCGAAAGUGUGGGUAGCAAACAGGAUUAGAUACCCCUGUAGUC
rnacentral:rRNA from 1 species